AGCUCCUCGGCCGCGCGGGCCACCGGCCUCCGGGGUUGCAGGGUGCAGGCCAGCCGCCGGGGCGGGCCGCUGCGGGGCUUUGGGACAGUGGGACGUGGACUAGUCCCCAAGCCAGUCCCUUCCGCCCGGCCCCCGCCGCGGGAAGUCCCCCGCCCCGAGCCCGGCGGCGGCCUAGACGGUGUGGGGUGUGGGGUGUGGGGUGUGGGCGACCCCGCCGCAGGGGCCCCGCUGCGCCCGGAGGCCAGGCUGUCCUAGGCCCUGAUGUGCCCUAGAUGGAACGCGGCUCUUCCCGGAGCCACAAGCAUUUCUUUAUUCAUCCCCUACUGCGCCCGGGAGGGCAUCGGGGACCGGCUGGGCCGUGGGCUUCGGGCAGGACUGGGCUCGGCGCCCCAGGCCCUCGGCCUGGCCAGGGAGCCCCCCAGUCCCUAGACUCCUCUCCAGCCAGGUCUACACCGUCCCCCAUUCAUAUUCUUCCGGGUUAGUAACAGCUUCUUUUAAAGCAAAACCGCCCCAGAAGGUCCCGGAGCUCAGUCGAUUCCCCUCUUGGUGUGAAUUCGCUUAAUCCCCGGCUAACGGGUACCGACGUCCCCCACCGCGUGCGGGCCAGGGCGUUGGACCCGGGCUUUCAGGGUUUGGAACCAAGCGGUCUCCCUCCCGGAUUCCCAGAGCCCCAGGGGAGCCAGGCCUUCCUCUUUGGCGCCCAGGAAACUAAGCUUGCCCUUGGCAAAGAGCAGCCCCUACCCUACCUGCUGGUCCCUUGUCUUGCCCCACUCUGUUCAUCAAGACGUGAUCACACAAGGCAAGCUUCUCUGGUUCCUAGCGAGAUACUGGUGGGUAAUCCUAAGGUUGGGCUUUCCAAGUGCUGUCGAAAAAAGAAAAAAAAAAAAAGAAAAGAAAAUGAGACCUGUCUAAAACUAAUUUCUCACACUAUGAAGGUGUGAGAAGGUGUCGGUGCUUUUUUUUCCAUCACUCUACACUGGCUUUCAUGCACAGACAAAAUUUAUGUGAGCGUAUACCAACAGCAUCAUUCAGCAACCCAGCCAAACCACUCUUGUUUCAGCCUUCCUUCCAGGCUCCCCACCCACCCAUUAGAAAACAUAUAUUAUAUGAAAAUGUCUGCAUCCUACUAUUUUUUUGAAAGUAACUCUGCUGUUGCCACUAUUUAAUUUGUUUCUCUGGAAUGAGUUACUGCAAAAUACUUCUUGGUACAAUUUCAAAUUUGAUAAGCUUUCAGAUAAAUAUUUUUACCCAAACUCUGAAAACCGAUAGGGAUUCCAAAAUAGCACACAGCGGUAAACGGCAUUUAUUGUUCCAUAAAUCCUGGGACUUCAAAAAAGAAAUGCUAAAUAGAUAAACAAAACUCUAAAGCAAUUAAGAGACAAGCUCACUUCUCUCACACUGGUGGGCACAGGAAACAUUUGGUCACACAAAAGCAGUUAAGAUGACAAGUGAGUCACUGAUUUUUUUUUUUUUUUUUUUUUUGUCUUAAUCAGGCUUGAACUCUGCUGUUCUGAGUUCAUGCAUUUACACAGUACCAUCAUUCUGGAGAAUUCCUAAUGGCUAAGAUGGUGAGAUUUUAUUUUAUCUAUAUUCACAUCCAUAAAAAUAAAAUAAAUAUAAAGAUGAUCCCUAUUUUUUAA
rnacentral:lncRNA from 1 species